CACACAUUUGUGUAAUAGUUAUUACGAUGGCUGCUGUCAUAGUUAAGUGCUUUGAUAUUAUUUGCAUGUAAUUGAUGCAUGAUAAAUGCUUGGAAAUGAACGUACACCUACUUCAGGGUGGCAACUUGGGUUUAUAAAGUUAAAAGGGUUUGAGGGACUCUCUUUCUUAGAUUUAGUUAGAAAUUGGAACAACUUGUUGCAAAGUUGCUGCCGUUUCUGUUUCAUAACUUUCAUUUGUUUGUUUCAUUGUUUCUUAGGUCUUAUGUUUUCAUCCAAAUGAUGUUUACAUGUUCCUUUUACAUUGUAUUUCAUUCAAACGAAUAAUACAAAGUUUUGUUCUUUUUUUAUUUUUUUUUUAAAAAGGAACAUACUCCCCCGUUAAUUAAUAUAAGUAUUUGCCUCAUUGACAUUUAUUCAAGAAGAUAUGACUAUGGGGUUGCUUUUAUUAUUUAUAUAUUUUUUUAAAGUGUUUGUUUGUUGAUAGUUUUGAGUAUAUAUUUGUGUUUCAAGUUUUUGGCAUAGUAAGUGUUUUUUUAGUGUAUAAAUGAAAUUUUAAUGUAUUCUACUGCAAACAGAAGCGAUUUGAACUUCUAAAUUUAUAACCUCUUAAGUUUGGGCAAAAAUAUUGAAUGGACGUGGGCAAAGUUUUGGAUGUUUAUCAUGUAAAUUGCUAAACUUUGAACUGACUUGUCACCAAGCAAUAUUCUGUGUAGAGGCUUGAAAAGCGGAGGAGAGAUCUGGUUUGUUAAUCACAUAUACUCUGCGGGCACGUGUUUAUGCCAAGACAGAAGAGAAGAAGUUGGAAUUACUGUAUCUUCGGUGGAGUGAGCACCAUAAAAAACUUUGCAAUUUUAUAAGGACUAAGACAGAGCCUCCAAUUUAUUAUUUGCCGAAGAAGCCACUGGAUGCAGAUGAAAUUGAGGCUGAGCAGCGAAAAAAAUAGGUUUUUAUUCAUCUUGUAUUUCUCU